ACAUCCUUUAGUUUAGAGGGGUUUUAAUCACAAUGUGAGCAGAACAACAGCACCGAAAGACUCAAGGGCCUCUUAGCUGAAACAGAACAAACUGGGUUUUUCUUUCAUUUUACUUACAGUUCACACUGACGGCCUCUUGGUUAUUCAGUUUAUUGUCCUUUUUUUUGUCCCGGGCACAGGUGCCCAGACACCGGGACUGCAGGGGCAGCCUCUGUGAGGGAAGCCAGGGCUGCCCCAGGCUGCCUGCAGCCCUUCCAGCUGGCUCCAAGGGACACAGCGCAGGACACGGCUGAGAUGGAAACCACUGGAAAACGCAGCUAAACACGGGGCAAAACACUGCCUGGGAGAGAUGGAUGGCGGGGAGGAAGGUGUUAGAAACAGCCCCACAGCCACAGAAGGUGGAGGAGGAGAGGGAGGAGUUGCUCCCGGCACCAGAGCAGGGAGCAGCAGCUCUCUGCAGCCGGGAGAGACGAAGCUCGCCCUUUUUCAUUCAGCUCACUCCUCCAUUUUACUGCUCUCUCCUCACAGCUCUGUGUCUCUCUGAGAGACAGCAGCUCUCUGACAAGGCCGGUGAAACUGAGUGACUGGUGAGUAAAGAGAAGAUAAGUCCUCCCAACUACAAUUCUAAAAGAAGAUUUUGCUUACAGCAAAUAUCCAUAGUGCAAUCUUGGACUUCUGUGUGUGUCAUUUGAUCCAACAGGAAAUAAUGAAACAAUGGGAUAAAGGAGAAAACAGUAGACAUUUAAGAGGCAUGGUUCUUCCAGAAGGCAGAUAUAUAAGCAGUGGAACAGAGUAAUUCUUUAUGUCUUUAAAAGCUUGGCUAAGAAAAACCAAAAAGCUUCACAGAUGCUUGACUGUGCCUCUGCUAAACCACAAGAAGUUGCCAGUAGAAAGUAUAUGCCUGAGAAAAAAACAUUUAAAGCUUUAUGGAAGCUAGAGCCAAGAGUGACGUUAUCUGGUGGCAUCCGGCAGCAAGGCCAUAACCCAACAGCCCAGGAGGGAAGUGUGUCAAGGCCUCUAUUGACCAGCAAAAUCCUGCUGCAUCAGCUAAACAGCACCUGCUCCUUGUUCAGAUGUUCCCCUUCCAGAUGUCCUGUUUUCACCUAAGAGAUCAGUGUGUUCCAGGAGAGCUGACUACUACCUUUUCAUUGUAUUAAAACCUGACAGCAUCCUGGGAAUAAACCAUUUCAAAGCCUAAUGAAAACA
rnacentral:lncRNA from 1 species